CAUAUACUCCCUCCGUCCCAGAAAAAACGAAUUUCUAGGUUUGAAUCUGGACAUACCCUAUGUCCAGAUUCAAACCCAGAAAUUCGUUUUUUCUGGGACGGAGGGAGUACGAU
rfam:Leersia perrieri chromosome 3, whole genome shotgun sequence.